rnacentral:rRNA from 1 species
AGCGAACGCUGGCGGCGCGCCUAAUACAUGCAAGUCGAACGGACCCUUCGGGGUUAGUGGCGGACGGGUGAGUAACACGUGGGAACGUGCCUUUAGGUUCGGAAUAGCUCCUGGAAACGGGUGGUAAUGCCGAAUGUGCCCUUCGGGGGAAAGAUUUAUCGCCUUUAGAGCGGCCCGCGUCUGAUUAGCUAGUUGGUGGUGUAACGGACCACCAAGGCGACGAUCAGUAGCUGGUCUGAGAGGAUGAUCAGCCACAUUGGGACUGAGACACGGCCCAAACUCCUACGGGAGGCAGCAGUGGGGAAUCUUGCGCAAUGGGCGAAAGCCUGACGCAGCCAUGCCGCGUGAAUGAUGAAGGUCUUAGGAUUGUAAAAUUCUUUCACCGGGGACGAUAAUGACGGUACCCGGAGAAGAAGCCCCGGCUAACUUCGUGCCAGCCGCCGCGGUAACAC